rnacentral:rRNA from 1 species
CCUACGGGAGGCAGCAGUGAGGAAUAUUGGUCAAUGGACGGAAGUCUGAACCAGCCAUGCCGCGUGCAGGAAGACGGCUCUAUGAGUUGUAAACUGCUUUUGUACAAGGGUAAACCUGAAUACGUGUAUUCAGCUGAAAGUACUGUACGAAUAAGGAUCGGCUAACUCCGUGCCAGCAGCCGCGGUAAUACGGAGGAUCCAAGCGUUAUCCGGAUUUAUUGGGUUUAAAGGGUGCGUAGGCGGAUUGAUAAGUUAGGGGUGAAAGGUCCGAGCUUAACUCGGGAACUGCCUCUAAUACUGUUGAUCUAGAGAGUAGAUGCGGUAGGCGGAAUGUAUGGUGUAGCGGUGAAAUGCUUAGAGAUCAUACAGAACACCGAUUGCGAAGGCAGCUUACCAAUCUAUAUCUGACGUUGAGGCACGAAAGCGUGGGGAGCAAACAGGAUUAGAUACCCCUGUAGUC